UACGGGGGGAGCAAGCGUUGUUCGGAUUUACUGGGCGUAAAGAGCGCGCAGGCGGUCGUUCAAGUCGCGUGUGAAAGCCCCCGGCUCAACUGGGGAGGGUCACGCGAUACUGAUCGACUCGAAGGCAGGAGAGGGUAGUGGAAUUCCCGGUGUAGUGGUGAAAUGCGUAGAUAUCGGGAGGAACACCAGUGGCGAAGGCGACUACCUGGCCUGUUCUUGACGCUGAGGCGCGAAAGCCAGGGGAGCGAACGGG
rnacentral:rRNA from 1 species